rnacentral:misc_RNA from 1 species
GAGAAAUCUCGUGAAAACAAGAAAUUAAAGAAACAAGCUUCUUUUGCUGUUUAAUUUAUACUUUAGGAUCAUAGAAGAUGGAUGGCUUUGAUCAUAUUUGUUGCUAGUCUCAACCUUGAAAUUAGUCUUUAUACUCAUUUUGAUUUUUAUGUAGUUAUUUUAAUCUGGUUUUUGAACUCUAAAAUCAAGUGAACUAAUGUAAUGGAUAGCUGGUUGCAGUGACGGGUAUAGUUUAUAAAGUUUUUCUUAUGACUAAGGAAUGGCUAUGCUUGGAAGAUGGCCAUUAAUGGUUUGCAU